AGAACGAACGCUGGCGGCAUGCCUAAUACAUGCAAGUCGAACGAACUCUUCGGAGUUAGUGGCGCACGGGUGCGUAACGCGUGGGAAUCUGCCCCUUGGUUCGGAAUAACAGUUGGAAACGACUGCUAAUACCGGAUGAUGGCGAAAGUCCAAAGAUUUAUCGCCAAGGGAUGAGCCCGCGUAGGAUUAGCUAGUUGGUGAGGUAAAGGCUCACCAAGGCAACGAUCCUUAGCUGGUCUGAGAGGAUGAUCAGCCACACUGGGACUGAGACACGGCCCAGACU
rnacentral:rRNA from 1 species